rnacentral:rRNA from 1 species
GAUGAACGCUGGCGGCGUGCCUAAUACAUGCAAGUCGAACGCAUAGCGACAGCUGCUUGCACCUUUCAAGUGAGCGGCGAACGGAUGAGUAACACGGUAACAUCCUGCCUCAAGUCUGGGGACAACAUUUGAAAACAGCUGCUAAUACCGAAUAAAACUUACUGUCUGAUGACACAAAGUAAAAAGGCGCUGCGGCGUCUCCUAGCGCGGGAUCCGGGGUGCUUUAGUUAGUUGGUGGGGUAAAGGCCUACCAAGGCAAGGAUGCAUAGCCGAGUUGAGAGACUGAUCGGCGACAUGAGGACGGAGACGCGGCCCAGACUCCUACGGGAGGCUGCAGUAGGGAAUCUUCGACAAUGGGCGAAAGCCUGAUGGAGCAAGGCCGCGUGUGAGAUGAAGGCGUUCGGGUCGUGAAGCACGGUUGUAUGGGAAGAACAGCUAGAAUAGGAAAUGAUUCGAGUUUGACGGUACCAGACCAGAAAGCGACGGCUAAAUACGUG